UAUUGGGCGUAAGAGCUCGUAGGCGGCUUGUCGCGUCGGAUGUGAAAGCCCGGGGCUUAACUCCGGGUCUGCAUUCGAUACGGGCAGGCUAGAGUUCGGUAGGGGAGAUCGGAAUUCCUGGUGUAGCGGUGAAAUGCGCAGAUAUCAGGAGGAACACCGGUGGCGAAGGCGGAUCUCUGGGCCGAUACUGACGCUGAGGAGCGAAAGCGUGGGGAGCGAACAGGAUUAAAUACCCUGGUAGUCCACGCCGUAAACGUUGGGAACUAGGUGUGGGCGACAUUCCACGUUGUCCGUGCCGCAGCUAACGCAUUAAGUUUCCCGCCUGGGGAGUACGGCCGCAAGGCUAAAACUCAAAGGAAUUGACGGGGGCCCGCACAAGCGG
rnacentral:rRNA from 1 species